CCUACGGGUGGCAGCAGUGAGGAAUAUUGGUCAAUGGACGCGAGCCUGAACCAGCCAUGCAGCGUGAAGGAUGACUGCCCUAUGGGUUGUAAACUUCUUUUAUAAAGGAGUAAAGUGAGGCACGUGUGUCUUUCUGUAUGUACUUUACGAAUAAGGAUCGGCUAACUCCGUGCCAGCAGCCGCGGUAAUACGGAGGAUCCGAGCGUUAUCCGGAUUUAUUGGGUUUAAAGGGAGCGUAGACGGAUUGAUAAGUUAGUUGUGAAAGUUUGGGGCUCAACCGUAAAAUUGCAAUUGAUACUGGCAGCCUUGAGAACAGAUGAGGUAGGCGGAAUGCGUGGUGUAGCGGUGAAAUGCUUAGAUAUCACGAAGAACUCCGAUUGCGAAGGCAGCUUACUAAUCUGCCACUGACAUUGAUGCUCGAAAGUGUGGGGAUCAAACAGGAUUAGAUACCCGGGUAGUC
rnacentral:rRNA from 1 species